GUUUGAUCCUGGCUCAGGAUGAACGCUGGCGGCGUGCCUAACACAUGCAAGUCGAACGGGGUUAUUUUGAUGAAGUCUUCGGAUGGAAUUGAGAUAACCUAGUGGCGGACGGGUGAGUAACGCGUGGGCAACCUGCCCCAUACAGGGGGAUAACAGCCGGAAACGGCUGCUAAAACCGCAUAAGCGCACACCGGCGCAUGCCGGAGUGUGAAAAUGUAUAUCGAAAGAUAUGCAGGUAUGGGAUGGGCCCGCGUCUGAUUAGCUGGUUGGUGAGGUAACGGCCCACCAAGGCGACGAUCAGUAGCCGGCUUGAGAGAGUGACCGGCCACAUUGGGACUGAGACACGGCCCAAACUCCUACGGGAGGCAGCAGUGGGGAAUAUUGCACAAUGGGGGAAACCCUGAUGCAGCGACGCCGCGUGAGUGAAGAAGUACUUCGGUACGUAAAGCUCUAUCAGCAGGGACGAAGAUGACGGUACCUGACUAAGAAGCCCCGGCUAACUACGUGCCAGCAGCCGCGGUAAUACGUAGGGGGCGAGCGUUAUCCGGAUUUACUGGGUGUAAAGGGAGCGUAGGUGGCGAAGCAAGUCAGAUGUGAAAGCCCGGGGCUUAACUCCGGGACUGCAUUUGAAACUGUUUUGCUAGAGUGCAGGAGAGGUAAGUGGAAUUCCUAGUGUAGCGGUGAAAUGCGUAGAUAUUAGGAGGAACACCAGUGGCGAAGGCGGCUUACUGGACUGUAACUGACACUGAGGCUCGAAAGCGUGGGGAGCAAACAGGAUUAGAUACCCUGGUAGUCCACGCUGUAAACGAUGAAUACUAGGUGUUGGGGAGCGAAAGCUCUUCGGUGCCGUCGCAAACGCAUUAAGUAUUCCACCUGGGGAGUACGUUCGCAAGAAUGAAACUCAAAGGAAUUGACGGGGACCCGCACAAGCGGUGGAGCAUGUGGGUUUAAUUCGAAGCAACGCGAAGAACCUUACCAGGUCUUGACAUCCCAUUGACAGGUCCUUAACCGGACCGUUCCUUCGGGACAAUGGAGACAGGUGGUGCAUGGUUGUCGUCAGUUCGUGUCGUGAGAUGUUGGGUUAAGUCCCGCAACGAGCGCAACCCUUAUCCUUAGUAGCCAGCACGAGAGGUGGGGACUCUAGGGAGACUGCCAGGGACAACCUGGAGGAAGGCGGGGAUGACGUCAAAUCAUCAUGCCCCUUAUGGACUGGGCUACACACGUGCUACAAUGGCGGCGACAAAGGGGAGCGACCCUGUGAAGGUGAGCGAAUCCCAAAAAAGCCGUCCCAGUUCGGAUUGUAGUCUGCAACUCGACUACAUGAAGCCGGAAUCGCUAGUAAUCGCGAAUCAGCAUGUCGCGGUGAAUACGUUCCCGGGUCUUGUACACACCGCCCGUCACACCAUGGGAGUCGGAAAUGCCCGAAGUCAGUGACCCAACCGAAAGGAGGGAGCUGCCGAAGGUGGAGCCGAUGACUGGGGUGAAGUCGUAACAAGGUAGCC
rnacentral:rRNA from 1 species